AGGAUUAACGCUGGCGGCGUGCCUAACACAUGCAAGUCGAACGAGGUAGCAAUACCUAGUGGCAGACGGGUGAGUAGCGCGUGGUCAACCUACCGUUGAGUGGGGGAUAACUAGCCGAAAGGUUAGCUAAUACCGCAUACGUCUCCGAGGGGCAUCCCUUGGCGAUAAAAGGAGCAAUCCGCUCGAUGACGGGACCGCGUCCCAUUAGCUAGUUGGUGGGGUAACGGCCUACCAAGGCGUCGAUGGGUAGCUGGUUUGAGAGAGCGACCAGCCACACUGGGACUGAGAUACGGCCCAGACUCCUACGGGAGGCAGCAGUGAGGAAUUUUCCGCAAUGGGCGAAAGCCUGACGGAGCGACGCCGCGUGUGGGAAGAAGGCCUUCGGGUCGUAAACCACUGUCGAAGGGGAAGAGUAAUGACGGUACCCUUGGAGGAAGCCCCGGCUAACUACGUGCCAGCAGCCGC
rnacentral:rRNA from 1 species